rnacentral:rRNA from 1 species
UAAAAACCCCGACUUCGGAAGGGGUGUAUUUAUUAGAUACAAAACCAAUGCCCUUCGGGGCUCUUUGGUGAUUCAUGAUAACUAUACGAAUCGCACGGCCUUGCGCCGGCGAUGGUUCAUUCAAAUUUCUUCCCUAUCAACUUUCGAUGUUUGGGUAUUGGCCAAACAUGGUUGCAACGGGUAACGGAGGGUUAGGGCUCGACCCCGGAGAAGGAGCCUGAGAAACGGCUACUACAUCCAAGGAAGGCAGCAGGCGCGCAAAUUACCCAAUCCCGACUCGGGGAGGUAGCGACAAUAAAUACUGAUACAGGGCCCUUUCGGGCCUUGUAAUUGGAAUGAGUACAAUUUAAAUCCCUUAACGAGGAACAAUUGGAGGGCAAGUCUGGUGCCAGCAGCCGCGGUAAUUCCAGCUCCAAUAGCGUAUAUUAAAGUUGUUGUGGUUAAAAAGCUCGUAGUUGAACCUUGGGCCUGGCUGGCCGGUCCGCCUCACCGCGUGCACUGGUCCGGCCGGGCCUUUCCCUCUGUGGAACCCCAUACCCUUCACUGGGCGUGGCGGGGAAACAGGACAUUUACUUU